UUUAAUGUACUCUUUCCAUUUUUUAAAAAUUGUGCAUUUACUUAUUAUUGUAUAUAUAAUUCGUAUAUUUAUAUAUUUAUAAUAUUUACUUAUUAUUUAUUUUUAUAUAUAUUGAGUAUUUCUCUUUCUUAUACUUUAUAUUUAGUUAAUAUCUAUAUUUUAUAUUUUAAGAUAGAUGUUUAAAUCUUAAUAUAUUUUUCUAUUUUUAAUGUAAAAUGACAAUGUUUAAUAGAAGAGCUUGGAUAAAUAGUCAAAUAGUUAUAUUUAUGUUUUUUUUCUUUUUUUAUAAAAUGGUAAUGUUACAUUAUGGAGAUAAGCCGUUUUUUAAGUGAAAAAUGGUAAUCUUACAUAUGUUUAAUGUAGAUUUCUAUUUUUUUAUGUUGUAUGUUUACAUAUUAUCGUUAUUUUUAAAUGUAAAAUGGUAAUCUUACAUAUGUUUAAUGUAGUAUUUCCAUUUUUUAUGUUGUAUGUUUACAUAUUAUUUAUAAUUUUCGAAGAUUAGUAAUAUUAAAAUGUAAAACUAUAUUUUAUGCCACGUGUCAUCUUUCGGGAGCAGUUUGUUUUGCUGAUGUGGACGCUCUAUGGAGCUUCAAAAUGUCUAUUUUAUUAGUAUAUUGUAUAUAUAAUUCGUAUAUUAUAUAUUUAUAAUAUUUACUUAUUAUUUAUUUUUCUAUAUAUUGAGUAUUUCUCUUUCUUAUACUUUAUAUUUAGUUAAUAUCUAUAUUUUAUAUUUUAAGAUAAAUGUUUAAAUUUUAAUAUAUUUUUCCAUUUUUAAUGUAAAACAGCAAUGUUUAAUAGAAGAACUUGGAUAAAUAGUCAAAUAGUUAUAUUUAUGUUUUUUUUUUCUUUUUUUAUAAAAUGGUAAUGUUACAUUAUGGAGAUAAGCUGUUUUUUUAAAGUAAAAAAUAGUAAUCUUACAUAUGUUUAAUGUAGAUUUCUAUUUUUUUUAUGUUGUAUGUUUACAUAUUAUUGUUAUUUUUAAAUGUAAAAUGGUAAUCUUACAUAUGUUUAAUGUAGUUUUUCCAUUUUUUAUGCUGUAUGUUUCAUAUUAUUUAUAAUUUUUAAAAAUUAGUAAAUUAAAAUGUAAAACUAUAUUUUUAUUUAGUUAAUAUCUAUAUUUUAUAUUUUAAGAUAAAUGUUUAAAUUUUAAUAUAUUUUUCCAUUUUUAAUGUAAAACAGCAAUGUUUAAUAGAAGAACUUGGAUAAAUAGUCAAAUAGUUAUAUUUAUGUUUUUUUUCUUUUUUUAUAAAAUGGUAAUGUUACAUUAUGGAGAUAAGCUGUUUUUUUAAAGUGAAAAAUAGUAAUCUUACAUAUGUUUAAUGUAGAUUUCUAUUUUUUUUAUGUUGUAUGUUUACAUAUUAUUGUUAUUUUUAAAUGUAAAAUGGUAAUCUUACAUAUGUUUAAUGUAGUUUUUCCAUUUUUUAUGCUGUAUGUUUCAUAUUAUUUAUAAUUUUUAAAAAUUAGUAAAUUAAAAUGUAAAACUAUAUUUUAUGCCACAUGUCAUCUUUCGGGAGAAUUUGUUUUCGCUGAUGUGGACGCUCUAUGGAGCCUCAAAACGUCCCUUUUAUUAGUAAGGACUAGGGAUUAACCCGGGCUACGCCCGAGAUUUUUAUUUUUUUUCUAAUUUAAGUUGUUAAAUUAUUUAUAUUUAUGUUAUGAUAUAUAUUUAUAUAAAUGUUAAGAUGCAUGUCAUAAUUAAAAUUUAUUUUUAAAUUUUAACACGUUAAAUUAACAUAUUUUUUACUAUUUAAAUAUCUUUUUUGUAAUUUUGUUGGCUAUCUAGUUACAUAUUUAGCAAAACUAUCUGUUGAGUGUUGGAAUAAAUGUUUUAGAUAUUUAAUUAAACUGCAG
rnacentral:lncRNA from 1 species